rnacentral:lncRNA from 1 species
CUCAAUCUGUCACAAGCAAAGAAGCAGAACAGUUCUGACGACAGCUGCGAGUACCCACACGUGCAGAAGCGUUCUCUUCUUAUGUAUCGAAAGAGAGUUUUCUUUAUAAUUAUAAACCUUUUACUAUGCAAGUUUUUCCUAUGCGGAUUUAGAAACUGACUGAGAAAGAAUUCAAAUCGGUACCUAAACCCAGAAAUCAUGGAAGUUGGUUCAGACGAUCCACUUGUUAUAGUGGAUCAGGAAGUUGGCGGUGGAGAAACUCGCUUACCAAAUUCUCACAGUGCAGCCUUGGUGAUGGCCUUCAUAUUUUUGUGUUUACUUGCAUAUGGAGCGUAUAGACUUUACAAAUGGAAGUGCACCAGUGAAGAGCCUUCUGUUACAUUUAAUGUAGGUAAAGAUCCCUUCGCGGAAUUGGGCGUAAAAGAUCUGGAAAAAUAUGCCAAAGAAAGAGAAGAGUAUCUUGCCAUCUAUGGACCAAAGAAAAAUAUUAAUCAAGCCGGCGCUUCUGGAAUUAAAACAGAACCCAGCCAACAGUGCAGUUAACAUUAAGUAAACGAGUAAUUAGCUCAAAAAUAUUUAACACAGCGUAUAUUUAGAAUGUUGUCAACGUUCUUUAAGGACCAUUAUCAUACAUUUUGAAUCUUAUUCAGAUUCUUAAGAAGGAACUUGUGAUUUCUUGUAACAUAGACAUAUAAAACUGCAUUUUGUCUUUUGAUUAAUUUAUGGCAGGAAAGAAUGUGACAAAAGAUGUUAAAUGAUCUUAAACAUUUAAGUUAUUAUGUAUAUAUAUCUACGUGUGUGUGUGUGUAUACAUUGAAAAUAUUUUACAGAGGAUUUCGUUGCUAUAAUUAAAGCCAUAACAAAAGGAUUCUAGCUUAACUUCUUAAUAUGGGUAUUUAUUGAUAUUGUUGUCGUUGUUUUUUAAGUGUUCGUAUUCAGAAGCUCCAAGCAUGCUGAGAAAUAUUAAAAGACGUUAUGUGUCAUCAUACUCAAAUAGUGAAAAGUUCAGCUUAAAAAUUAAAUAAUAAAAAUGAAUGUUUUGAGAAAAUAAUUGCAUCAUAAAGUGUAAAUAAAAAUGCGCUUUUUCCUUUACCUUUUAGAUUGAACGUGAAAUAUAUAUAUAAAGCAUUUUCAUCAAUUAAUUUCUCAAUUAAAUUAAUUAAAUUUCACAGCCAAAUUAAAAGAAAAUAAAAAUUAUUUGCCAAUAGAAGUUUUUUUUUUUCAAAUAUUCAAUAAAGAAUUUAUUUGUAUGCUCAUUGAAAUGUGAAGAAAGAAGUAUAACUAUAAAUGAAUAACAAACUUUAAACUAACACAAAGUCAUUCGAACUUUUAAAUUCAUCUAGCUGAUAAUCAGCAGUUUAUCUCGCUCGCUUCUAAUUCCGUAGGUAAUAUAUCCAUUCAUUGAUGAAGAGUAAUAACAGUUUGCUGUACAAUUCUUCUUCUUUUUUUUUUUUUUCUUAACUUCCUUGUACGAAAUAAAGGAAGCACUGUAAUCACAAAAAAUUUCCGGUAUCAUAUUUCAACGAAAAUGUCCAUUUUGACCGCUAUCGAAUGCAAUUUAACGAUGUUUUUGCGUGACAUAUGUAUGUAAGGACAAGACAAAGGACUUUUUUUCCAAAAAUGAAUUUAAAAUGGACUCAGAAGAGAUUUUUUUUCAUGACAUCCGAACGUGCAUAUGUAUAUAUUUCGCAUAACUCAAAACCGAGUAGCCUCAGGACAUUGAAAUUUUGUAUAUAGGACUACUAUAACAUGUGUUGUGCACCUCCGUUUUUGGUUCAAAUUGGCCGCACCAAAAGUAUAUAUAUAUAUAUAUAUAUACCGACUUUGUUACGGUAGACUUCGUCUAGGUGAGCUCAUUUUUUUUUUCAUGCUUAUAUUUUGGUAAAUUGUGCAUUUUUUGCUUUAAAAGUGAUUGAAUUAUGUUGUUUCUGUUAAGGUUUUAUGUUUUUAGUUAAUCUGCAUGUAAUAGUUGUAGAAUUAUCAACAAUUAUUUAAAAUUUGUUUAAGUACAACUAACCUCUUUUAUUCCUAAUAUAAAUGAAGUCUUAGUUAGCAGAAUAUUAACUUCUUUAGAGUCACUCACAUCAAAUAUGGCAACCAAAAAUAAGGACGCAGGUUACUUUCAGUAGAACGUCACCCAGACGGUAUAGUGAUUAGGGAUGCCGACUGCGAUACUGAAGGGUGUCGGCUCGAAUCCCGGAGAAGGCAUGGAUGUAAAUUGUCUGUCCCUUCAUGUACAGUAGUGCGACGAAGCAGUACCUUUGUGAGCAUAUGCGAAGUCUUGGUGAUCCGUCCUAUUUUGCCUGACCUGCCUGUCCCUUCAUCAGAAGAAACGGUAGCUGCCUAUUAAACGUUUCAAUAAUAAAAUGACCGCCACUUCUGGCCUUAGCAGUGGCAAAAUACUAAAAAAGGCUAGUGCCUGACAUAUUAAAAAAAAAACUUUUAGUAGAACAAAUUGCAAAAAUGUUAUAUUUAAUGAGGCCGAGAUUUAUUAUUUUGCAAAUAUUCGUAGAUUUAAAAUAAUGUUUGAUAGAAAUCUGGGAUUGUAUUAAGUUAAUUAUUCGUUUUCCAAAUAAUAAGUUAAGUUCAAUUUAAUAAUAAUAUACAUAAUGAUAUUAUAUCUAUAGACAUUUUUGAGACAUUCUGGGGAACAACAAGGUUAUUGCUGAUUCUGGAUUAAUGAAGCAAUGUAUAAAAUAGUAUUACUGCGAAUGAAGCUUUCUAGUGAAUUGCAUAUUAUGUAUGAUUUCUUAUUUUUCCCUCGAGCUUCAAUGUCAAGGUACAAAACUCAGUUCUGAAGCUUAGCACCAAAAAAGGUGCUAAGCUUUCCUGCCAGGAAAGCUUAGCACCAAGGGCGAAGCUUCAAAUUUCAGGUGCAGGAGUCUACUCACUAUCUUCCGAAAUCCUCCGCAGUUCUAUUUAUUUACUACACAUGACAUAAAUACUGCAUUAUUUUAAAAUUCUGCUAGAGAAUUCGUAGUGUAUAAUAAAUGAAAUGAUGACUAAUAGAAUAUUAUUUAUUCUAAAUACAUAAUGCUAAAUUAAUGUUUACGUAAGGCUAAAUUAAUGUUUACGUAAGGCUAAAUUAAUGUUAAAGAACGUGCCGAUGCGUGUUAUACGUAAACCUUAUUAAGCUUUACUUAUGUAAGGCCUUACGUGCUUGAGUAAUGCUUACAUUAAUUUAGCCUUGCGUGUUACAGGUAAGGCUAAAUUAAUGUUUAAUUAAAAAUAAAUUCAAAUUUAUUUUAAUCAAUCCUAAUUAAAAUAAAACCUUACAGAGUGAUUGCUUUUCUCUUUUCUCUUUAUAACAUAUUGCGAAGAUAGUUAAGAUUGAAGACAGUUAAAGAUAGUUAGUGAAUUAAGGAUUAAUUAUGAAAUUCUUUUUAAAUGGCAAGGAAAACUCUUAACCAAAACAGUUAAACUAACAUAUUACAAUUUAAGCACUUUAUAGGCAUUUCUUAUUUGUUUACAUCAAUAAUCUUUAACUACGAUUUAAUGACUAAAGCCAUUUAUGAAGCGGUAUUAUAUUUGGUAUAUUGACAUCGAUAAUCUUUGCAAUAGAAAUAAAAUAAGAAAACAGAACAUAAUAAAUUAAAUAAACAGGAAUUGAAAUUUGAAUUUGAAUUUAGAGCUGCUUCUAGAAAAGUGGAUUACUUUGGAUUUUACAAAAUAAUGCAAUUUUGGGUAUAAAAUCAAAUAAAAAAUAAAGAGUUUUUCCCUAUAGAAAAUGUAAUGUUAAUUUUUGUAUUUAUAAGUUAGCAUAAGUUGCUAAUGUUUAUUUUCAAAUGUGCUUUAUCUUAUUGCUAACUUGAAUUGCAAUAAAUUUCUUGGUAGCGUUUAGUUUUCAUUGACUUCCUGUCCAGAACUUAAUAAAAUAAUAGUAAAAUUUUUAAAAGCAAUUUAUCAGGAAAACUGUUUCUCACAAAAUUUCAAAACGUGUAAAAAUGUACAUAAAUACUUUUACUGAAGAUAAUAAUAAAAAACAUGCUUUCAAGGGUUUUCAAGUUCCAUAAACCUAAAUUUUUUUUGGAAUAAUUUUGAAUAUUUUUGUUAAAAUUUAGAUUGUUAAAAUUCGUUUCAUAAAGGGAAUGCUGAAAGAUUUUUGAAAGAAAAAAAGAAGAAAAGAAAGAAACAUGAUUUUUUUCUUUAUAUGCUUUUCCUCCAGAAUAUCUUUGAUAGAUUUUUAAAUCACUAUUUCAUUUACAGAACAUCGUUAUACUAAAGUUAAGUUUAAUAAUAAUUAGUAGUUUCUUUUUUUCUGUUAAAGCACGGAAAUUCAAAAGGAUAAAAUGCAGGAAAUAUUUUUUUUUAUUGUGCAUUGAUGUAUUAGUGGUUGUAUUUAGUUAACUAAAUGUUAAGUGUCCAUUAUGUAAAUAAAAUAUGAAAUUCUA